ACUCAGGUUGAAGAUCUUGUGGAGAUUGACACAGUUCUGCAGCACAGUCUCUAAGCAGCCUUGGACACACACCAUGUGGACCACCUGCCUUCCCAGGACAAAGUCUUCCAAGCUCUAUCCUCACCCCUGUUUUGGUGACAGACAAGGACUGGUGUUCUAGGAGGGAGGCAGUUGAAGUGGUUGAGACAUUUGAACAAGAUGGAGGAGGAAGGGGAGAAGUUGUAGUGGAGAUUUGUUGCAGAGAGGAAGGUGGAGUAGCAGUGGAAGUGGGAGUGACAGCAGUGUCAAAUCUGUUGAAGAACAGGUUGAAUUCAUUAGCUCUUUUCACAUCACCCACCACUGGCUGUCUUUUCUUUUGACUGCUGUGUCCAGAGAUGGUACUGAUUCCUCUUCACACUUCACAGAUGUUGCUGUGUUGAAGAUUCUUCUCUAUCUUCUUUUUGUACUCUAACUUUGCCAUCUUCAGUCUCCUCUUCAACUCUUGUUGCACUUGUUUGAGUUGUUCUUUGUCACCAUCUUUAAAAGCUUUCUUUUUCUGGUUAAGGAUUGCUUUUAUGUCUCUUGUGAUCCAGGGUUUGUUGUUGGGGAAACAGCGAACAGUUUUUGUGGGUAUAACUGUGUCUCUACAGAAGUUGACAUAAUCAGUAAAGCAGUCAACCUGUUUUUCAAUGUUCAUACUUGUCCCCACAACAGUCCCUUAGAGCUUCACUGGCUUGAGGUGUCCAUCUUCUGAUUUUGACUUUGGUCACAGGCUGCCUCAGCACACAAGGUCUGUAACAGGUUUGCAGAUAGACCAAGUUAUGAUCUGACUUGCCCAGUGGUGGUAAGGCAGUGGCUCUGUAGGCUUCUUUGACGUUGGCAUACAGCAGAUCCAGGGUUUUGUUAUCUCUGGUAGGACAGUUCACAAACUGUGUGAAUCCAGUCAGGUGAGAGGAGAGGGUGACAUGGUUGAAGUCUCCUGAUAUUAUUAUUAGUGCCUCAGGGUGUUGAGUCUGUAGCCUGGCAACACUAUUUUGCAAAACAUCGCAACAUUCCUUAGUUGAUUUGGGUGGAAUGUAAACAACUACUGUUAUGAUAUGACUAAAUUCUCUGGGAACAUGAUAUGGCCGAAGAGCAACUGCCAACAGUUCAAUAUCUGGACAACACAACUCCUCCUUGACAGUUAUGUGUGAAGGGUUACACCAUCUCUGGUUGACAAAUAAAGCCAGACCUCCUCCUUUCUUCUUGCCACUAGCUUGAGCAUCUCUGUCUGACCUUACGUGAGUGAAGCCAGGUAGAUCCACACUGGAGUCCGAGUUAUUUUGAUUCAACCAGGUUUCAGUAAAACACAGGAAACGUCACUCACGGUAUGCUUUCUCAGUCUUCACCAAUAUCUCCAGCUCAUCGCUUUUGUUGGCCAGAGAGUUGACGUUUCCCAUGAUGAUUGAUGGAAGAAAGGGUUUAUAUCACCACCUCCUAGCAUUCAGCUUUGGAUUCACCUUUGCACCAGCACGGCAACCACGAUAACACCUCCUGAUGUCCUCUGGAAUUGUAUGUUUUUGCCCAGAUUUGCUUUUCCUCAAUGACAGGAGCUCUUCUCUUGAGUAAACUCUUCGCCCAGCAGAAGUAUCCAUCAGCAGCCAACAAAAUUACAACAAAAAUAUGAAAAAAAUCUAGCAUAAAUUACAAAAAUUACAGAUAAUACAGAGAGACCAGACUUGCGCAUCAUUUGAAUCAAAAUUGAAUCAAAUUUGAACUGAAUCAAAAUUACUACAAUCUAUUCUACUGACAGACUCACUCUGCAUGUUUUAUCUGUAAAUAGAGAGCCUGGUAUAGUAAUGAUGUUCAGUUCUGUCUAUUAGAAACAGGCUCUGUGGGAGUGGCCCCUAACAGUUAACUUGCAGUGCAACAUCUAAUACAUGGCUCUCAAUAACGAUGCUAUGACAGUUCAGUUAUUCUGCCAUAACAUAAGACAUUAUGUUAUGGCAGUCUUUAGCGCCAUGUUGAGGAGUCAUAGGGUAGUGACAGGAUGCGUCUAAUUGGAGGCGAAGCUGAUAUGUUUGAACUAAUAAAAUAUUCAUAUUAUGGUGAUGGGAAUCCUUUAACUGAAUCUUAAGAGUCAGGAUGAAGAUGUUUCGUAGUGUCAGUAUUUUGUUCCUCUUCUUAUACAUUGUACAAACUUGAAAAUGAGUAAUGUGUGGUUUAGGUUUAUUCAUCAAAUUCAACAUCCACCAAAUUGAGAUGCCCUUAUUGACCGAAGUUCAAGACACUCCUGUCUAUGAGAUGACCCUCUUCCUUUCCAAGACAAGAUUUUAGGAAAAUACUUGUUAAAAAGCAAACUUGCUCAACACAGAAACAAUUUUAACUUAAUAAAAAUGACUUGAUUGAUAAGAAAGAAACUUGUUUAAAAAAAAAAGAUGUAUAAAGUAUCUUUGACAACUUUUUUAGAAAAUACUGAAAACACUACAUCAUUUAAAAGUUACAUGAAUAAAAUAGGUGGUCAUGAGUGUAAAUGAAGGACCCAGGUCCUGUUAUGCAAAAAGAGCACAGGUUUAUUGGCUCUGGAACCAGCUAAAGGAGAAGAUGUGCAUGGAAACAGUUCUACUGUUUGUAUUUCUAUAAUGAGAAAAAGUCUGUGACUUCUGAUACAGCCAACAACUUGCUUCUAAAAGUGAAUUGGAAUGACCUCGAAAGUUGUGAGUUUGAAAAGAAACUCAGGCUGUCUCAAUUCAGGGUGUGCACACUGCUAAGUGCACUUUUCUGACCUGGGACAGUCUACCUUCCAGAGGACCUCCUGGUUGCAUCACCAAAUGUCCCUGCCUUUUCUGGAUCCCGUGGGUUUGAGCCGUAACCCUGAAUUUUCACCACAUCUCUGAUCUCGAACGGCCUAAUUUUUUUGCUUUUCGCCAAUUCCUUCCGGAUCUGUUUGUGGGGCAAAUUACGUGGUGGAUUACGGACAGCAGGAAUCGUGAGAACUCACAAGAACCUGCGGAUUCAUGUGCAAUAACAAGUUGUCUUUAUAAAGACAGCCACAUAGCCAUAUAAGCAGUAGAUUGUGUCCUUCCUGAGAAGGAAAUCCACUUCUAGACUUCUAGGCUGUGUCCGAAAUGGAUCCCUAACCCCUAUAUAGGUGACUAUAUGGGGGUUACUGCCAUUUUGAGGGGUGUCCGAAACCUAAGUGAGCAAUUCCAAUGCCCCAUGUAGGCUAAAACAUGACACAGGAGCGGAUUUUCACUCCUGUCCCAUCCCACUCCCAGAGAAAAAAUCACGUCCCCUCCCAAUCCCGGAUCGGAGUAAAAAAAUUAAUCCUGUCCUGUCCCACUCCCGUAGAAUGACUCCCACUCCCAUCCCUCUCCCACUCAAAUUUACUCCCGCUCCCGUUUGAAUAAAACGGCUGUCAGCCGCUCUGAGUCGCUUUUCACUUCCGGUGGGGACAGGCAGUCAAACCACUGUUGUAGUUUUUUUGUGUUGCUAGCGCGGUCAAGAGUGUUGGCUCUCACUGAGAGAUGACUACAAAAAUGGACGCAUCUGUUCAUCUGGUUGUUUAACACGGCUGAAAAUGAUCAUUUAUUAAUGUUGUUCCCGCUCCUGCCCGCUCCCGUUGCUUUUUUUUCCCCGUCCCAUCCUGAUCACAGGAUUAACUAAUCCCAUCCCAUGAGAUUCCCGCGGGAAUUAUGUGACCCAUGGGCAUUCCAGAAAAAUGUCAUCCUCUAAUGUAGGCGACUCAAAAUUUCCCAAAGAGCAUUGCAAAAUAUAGUGACCAUCUGAUGGUCACUCAGUGAUGGUGGGCAUCCCGUCAUGCAUUGCUUCCCCCACGGCAGUUUGAGCAGUGACGUCACAACUGUGCGCUAUGUAGUGUCCGAAAUCUCCGGUGAUUGAGCUCACUACAUAGUCAGCCCCAUAGCGAAAUCCCAUAUGGGGGUUAGGGUUGAGAGAUUGAGUGAUCCACUUCGGACACAGCCCUAGAAUCAGCAUCUCCCCAUCCAUGGUGUCCUCAGGGUGAAUUGCUGUUUAAAAACCUUUCACUUGUUUGUCCCGCACGUUUGCAAGGUGUGAAAUAUGAUCCACCUGAAACACAUAGUGUUUUAUUUUGAAAAGAAGCCGGAUGUUUCAUUUUGUGUCUGUGCCCGACUUACUUUCCAGCACGGGUUAGUCUGUGCUGAAUUUAUCCGGCAUGCUCCGGCGUCCGGAAAAAAAAAUAACUCUUGUGAUCAGCUGCGGAGUCAGGUGAUCCGCAGCCAGACGGAAGGAGCCGGUGGAAAUUGACACAUUAACGUAAAUGGUUACAAUCAGGUUCGAUUGGCCGAUACGGCCUUGUCAUAGCCUUUCUGGAUAGUAGGUAGGUGAUUUGUCAUUUUUUACUCAUUUUGGUCAAAAAAAUGACAUAGGCCAUUAUUUUAAUAGGGUGACGAUAUACAACAAACAACAAAGUGACAACUGAAAUGAGGAAAAGACUCAAAAGAUCAUUUCCACAAAAUUUCUUCAUGAUGGCAUAUGUUUUGGCAUCUUUCUUAUUCCUAAUGUUUUUGAUUGUUGUAGAGCAGAUCUGAGGCCUGUACUAUGACGCUGGAUUUGACCUUAGUGAGAUAACUGCUGGAUAAUACCUGGGUUUUCCGUACGAUGAAGGUAGAUUUCUUUCUAUCCGGGUCCGUUGUCCCGGUAACUUAGGUGGAACGCCAAACCUGCUCUGCAGCAGGUUAUAUUUCAGGAUAAGAUCAGGCCACCCACUGACCAAUUGGAUCUCUUGGAAAAUGGCUUGCCCACUUUUGCCGGAUCCCACGGAUUUGAUUUACCUGAUUAAGUUCUCUAUGAACGUUACAGCCUUUCCUUGGAUGGUCUGUGAUACAUUUGUGAGCUGUUGGAGCCUUACGUGACCAACGUUACCCACCGCAGUUGGGCGCUCACAGUCCCGAAGACUGUCUGCCUUGCAUUGAGGUUUUUUGCCACUGGGGAGUAUUUAUACAGAUUUAGUUGUCUAAUUAUGUUCAUGGUAUUUUACACUGACAAAGCAUGGCUUGCAUGAUAAUAAUAAUAAUGCAUCAGAAUUUAUAGGGUUUUUUGUUAGUGACCUCAAAGUGCUUAAAAAGACUAAAGAAGAAUUUGCAUUAGCCUACUUUAUUCCUCUACUUAUUCAUUUCUUCUACAAAACCCACAGGCACUUUCAUGUAUGCUGUAGGAGAUGCAGAAAGCCUCAGCAAAAACACCUGCUGCAAAGCAGUUCAUAAAGUUGCUUGGGCACUGACGGAUCUGCUGGACAUGUUUGUUGUUUUCCCUGGCCAUUUGCCCCUGCAUGCCAUCAAAGAGGGGGUUUAUGCACUAGCAGGUAGGUUCAUAAAUGGCAAGUUCACAUAUAAUACUUUAUGUAUGCAUUUGGAUAUUGAAUCCAGUCAGUCUGGGGCCAGGUGGGGCAGACUAUGAAACCCCAAAAACUUCCACAGCCUCAAUAUUAAAGUAGGAUUAAUGCUACCAUGCUACCUUAAUGCAUUAAUGCACUAAUAUUUGCCAAGUUCCAGUUUCAUGUGGCAUUUCAGUCAUCAUUUAGAAUUUAGUGAAGCAGACUAGAAAACUCCUUUUAACCCCAAAUGUGUCUGCUGAUGACAUGUAUCCAUCAGAUGAUGGUCACUAGCCUUGAAGCAAAGAAUCCGGGUUCUGUGCACGACUCCCGUAUCUUCAGGUAGUUGGUGCUGUGCAGGAAACUCGAGCAAGGUAAAACUGUUCACUGAAUCUGUUAUAUUAUGUUAAACUGCAUUUUCAGCUCCUCAUCAAGGCAGUGUGAGGAAAUCGCUGUUUACAUGCUGACAUAUGUACAAAUAAAAUCUUUCAAUAAACCUACUUACCACUUUGAAGGAUGUUUUUACAUUUGUUUUUUGUUUUUUAAUUUGCUCCUACACCCUAUUUUUCCCCACUGCUGUUGCAUCUGAAAUAAAGAGGUCAGUGAUGAUGGUGAUCACACACACUGCAUGACAACAUAUUAGGGGACCAUAAAUUUAUGAACGCACAAAUGUAAUUUACACAAUUGGUGUUUUUUUGCCAGCAGUCCCUCUGGCUUUCAAGCCAGUCUGAAGUCUCAGUGGCACACAAAGAUUCACACUCAAAAAAGGUAGGGGCAGGGUGGUUUUUAGACCGCAUUGUGAGGGCCCUCGGGAUUGGGAGCUAAAUGCGACACUCUUAACGCUGUGCCAUGACGUUAUGCACUCUGCGAAUACCCACUACCUAGUGUGCAGACCCUGAAUUAAGACACAGCCUCAAUGUAGCCCCUGUUGUUUUUCACAUUCAGCUGUGAGGUACCUGAAGUUGCUCCAAGUUACUAAAGCAUUUCAACUCCAAGGGGCAUUCCAGGUGUAUCUGACAGGUGACUCAGAUUUUCCAGACAAAUGUUGCCAUUGUUGGACAGCUAUUAUAGAUGCAGCCUCUGACUGCCAACAGACAAAAGUGGCUGCUUUUGUCUAGCAUUAGCUAGCUAACAACAGAAGGAACAAAUUUCAGCAGACUUAAACAUAAAUAGUCACAGAUUUUCUUCAUCUUUGAGACAAAAUACAGGCAGUCUGUAAAAAUCAAACACUAAAAAAAAAGCAUCUGGAUGGUGCAGGACUACAUGGAGUUUAUCAACAUAAAACGACUGGUCUCAUAAAGUCAGUGGAUUUUACCGUAGAAGCUGGUAUUGUGUACUAUCCUAAUAUUGGAGCUGAUACAACAAACACAACAUUAUUUUACAUACAACAGCUUUGUCCCUGGAGAGUUUAAUUAUUGAACUCUGAAUAUAAGAGUGUAUGAUAAGGAAGACAACUCUGUCCUAUACUGGGGUCAGUACAGUACUUAAUAAUGUUGAAACCUUUUCUACCCGAACUCAUCUCAUCCUUAUACUUUUAAUGCUCCUGAGACUGAAUGUAACUCAGCGGUCUCCUUUAUAAAUGCUGCAUAAGCGCAAAAGAAAGCAUACGCCAUGAGUAAGCAACAUUUGGGAUUUCUAAAAAACAAACUUGACGAGAGAACAUGCGUACCCCCAUGGUAGCUCUGACCCUGCCAUACACACAAAAUCUGGAGAAAUGGGAAACUGCGACCCCAACAGUAGAGAGAUGUGGGAUGGAUUCAUUUGUGUGAAAUAAUCGAAUAUUACACAUUUCACAACACAUAUUGUAAAUUAAGGAUAUAUUUGCAAAAACGAAGAAACAGGAGAAAUUUAUAUUUUAGCCCCAGGAAGUGUGCGAGGGAACACACGUACACAUGUACGCACCCACACAUGUAGCCUAUAUUAUUGAAUCAAUUAUGUUCCAUCAUUGUUAAACAAACCUUGCAAGUUAUUACGAAAUUCAUUGAAAUAAAUAAUAAGGCAGACAGUAACCGUGUUCCCAAAAUGUGCCAUACAAAUCAAGUUUUAUAUUCUUUUUACUUCAGCAACAGUGUGACACUCUUUUGCCUUUCUAUCAUGAGCAAUGCCCACACUGUACCCACCAAAUAGGACUCUGUGCGUGUCUGCCUCACCCAUUAAUUGCUCAACCUCACAUUGAGUGGAAUUUCUUUUUUUCACUUGUUUUCCCUCUUGGUCCAUUGUGAAAUUGGUAUUAUUGAAUGCUCAUCAAAUGCUUUACCUGCCUUUUUAUAGGCACUACAUAGGCCAUUAUAAAGAGUUAAAAAAUAAAAUGACAAACAUCAAGACCCCUGCAAGGACUUUUUUAUGGUUUAUGUGAAGGACUGGAAUCUAAAGUGUUGCAACGUUACGAGCUUCUGCAAUAAACUCAACAAUAUUGUCUCUCCUGAUGAAAUGACUAAGAACAGUCUUUUAUCUUAUUUUUUGCUUUUCCCACUGUAGGCAUCAAUAAUGAGUCAUGCAAAAAGCAGAAAAGUGAGAUUUCUUUUUUCUCUCAGAAAAUACCACUUACUCAUGUCAAAAUGAGGCCUGCAAAGGUAUACAAGGUUGUUUUGUGGUGCCAGCAUUGAUUAAACCUCAAAGUACUUCCUAACUUCUGCAGGAAGAACCUCCCGCUCUCUGUUAGUUUGUGACUGUACAGCUGUGAUGUGUUGGGUUUGAUUGUGGGUAAAUGUUCUGAGUGAGCACAGCAGCUCUAAAAUGUUUCUCUCUCCUGCUUCAGCCUGGAUGGAUUUACUGUCACAGUUCACUCUGAGGACAUGCUUCCUGUGAGUAAGGUAAGACAGGCAGCUCAUACAAAACAAAAUUGUUGCUUUUAUUAUUUGAUUUCAAACUUAUAAACUAACAUCAGUGUUUAAUUUAAACUGUGUCUUAUGUUGUAAGAGGUAUUCCUGUGAUAUUUUCUCAGAAUGUGUUGGUGAAGUUUGACUGAAAUAUGUUGAAAUAUACAGCACACUAUGAUCUGGAAAUGAGCUCUUGCUUGUUUCACUGAAUUAUGAUUUCACAGGUUUGACUCGUAGCUCAGAGCUGUUGGUUACAGUCUUAGACACAAAGUCGCAUGGUUUAUAAAGAUAAAGCAUACUUAUUUUGAGGUAAUUUUUGUAUGGAGAAAAGAUGCAAUUGUGUUGGAUGAAAAUGGACUGAAAUAAAAGCUGACUUAACUGAAUGACAGUGUCUUUUUGUUUGUGAUUUUGACAGAGGGGUAACUGGGUUUCUCAAAGACUCUGAAAGGUAAUGUUGGUGUCUGCCAGCCUGCUUUCAAGGAUGAUGGACUAGAAUUUAUACCAACAGCGCUUUCGAGUAAUAUGACAUCAAAGCAUUUUUGGACUAAAAGUUUGAACUAUGAGCUGAAAAACUUAAGAGUAGUUUGUCAGUGAAGCUUGAGGUAGUGCACAUUUCUGUUGAAAGUACAAACCCAAUUCCAUUGAAGUUGGGAAAUUGUGAUAAACGUAAAUAAAAACACUACAAUGAUUUACAAAUCCUUUUCAAUCUAUAUUCAAUUGAAUACACUACAAAUACAAGAUAUUUAAUGUUUAAACUCAUAAACUUUAUUUGGAACACCUAUUUGGAACAUCCCACAGGUGAGUGCCAUGAUUGGGUAUAAAAGCAGCUUCCCCAAAAAUUCUCAGUCAUUCACAAGCAAGGAUGGGGCGAGGUUCACCACUUUGUGAACAACUGGGUGAGCAAAUAGUCGAACAGUUUAAGAACAACGUUUCUCAAAGUACAAUUCCAAGGAAUUUGGGGAUUUCAAAAUCUACAGUCCAUAAUAUCAUCAAAAAGUUCAGAGAAUCUGGAGAAAUCACUGCAAGUAAGCGACACAGCCGGAAACCAAUAUUGAAUGCCCAUGACCUUCAAUCCCUCAGGCAGCACUGUAUCAAAAACCGACAUCAAUGUGUAAAGGAUAUCACCACAUGAGCUCAGGAACACUUCAGAAAACCACUGUCAGUAAAUACAGUUUGUCGCUACAUCUAUAAGUACAAGUUAAAACUCUACAAUGCAAAGCGAAAGCCGUUCAUCAACAACAUCCAGAAACGCUGCUGGCUUCUCUGGGCCCGAGCUCAUCUAAGAUGGACUGAUGCAAAGUGGUAAAGUGUUCUGUGGUCUGACAAGUCCACAUUUCAAAUUGUUUUUGGAAAUAGUGGACAUUGUGUCUUCCGGGCCAAAGUGGAAAAGAACCAUCUGGACUGUUAUCAUUGCAGAGUUCAAAAGCCAGCAUCUGUGAUUGUAUGGGGGUGCAUUAAUGCCCAAGGCAUGGGUAACUUACUCAUCUGUGAGGGCAACAUUAAUGCUGAAAGGUACAUACAGGUUUUGGAGCAACAUACAGUGGGGCAAAAAAGUAUUUAGUCAGCCACCAAUUGUGCAAGUUCGCCCACCUAAAAAGAUGAGAGAGGCCUGUAAUUUUCAUCAUUGGUUCACCUCAACUAUGAGAGACAAAAUGAGAAAAAAAAAUCCAGAAUAUCACAAUGUCUGAUUUUUAAAGAAUUUAUUUGUAAAUCAUGGUGAAAAAAUAAGUAUUUGGUCAAUAACAAUAGUUUAUCUCAAUACUUUGUUUUAUACCCUUUGUUGGCAAUGACAGAGGUCAAACGUUUUCUGAAAGUCUUCACAAGGUUUUCACACACUGAUGCUGGUAUUUUGGCCCAUUCCUCCAUGCAGAUCUCUUCUAGAGCAGUGAUGUUUUGGGGCUGUUGCUGGGCAACACAGACUUUCAACUCCCUCAAAGAUUUUCUAUGGGGUUGAGAUCUGGAGACUGGCUAGGCCGCUCCAGGACCUUGACAUGCUUCUUACGAAGCCACUCCUUUGUUGCCCAGGCAGUGUGUUUGGGAUCAUUGUCAUGCUGAAAGACCCAGCCACGUCUCAUCUUCAAGGCCCUUGCUGAUGGAAGAAGGUUUUCAGUCAAAAUCUCAUGAUACAUGGCCCCAUUCAUUCUUUCCUUUACACGGAUCAGCCGUCCUGGUCCCUUUGCAGAAAAACAGCCCCAA